rnacentral:rRNA from 1 species
UACGGGGGGAGCAAGCGUUGUUCGGAUUUACUGGGCGUAAAGGGCGCGUAGGCGGCCAGCACAAGUCAGUUGUGAAAUCUCCGAGCUUAACUCGGAAAGGUCAACUGAUACUGUGCGGCUAGAGUGCAGAAGGGGCAACUGGAAUUCUUGGUGUAGCGGUGAAAUGCGUAGAUAUCGAGAGGAACACCAGUGGCGAAGGCGAGUCUCUGGACACUUCCUGACGCUGAGGCACGAAAGCCAGGGGAGCAAACGGG